GACGAACGCUGGCGGCGUGCUUAACACAUGCAAGUCGAACGGUAAGGCCCUUCGGGGUACACGAGUGGCGAACGGGUGAGUAACACGUGGUGAUCUGCCCUGCACUUUGGGAUAAGCCUGGGAAACUGGGUCUAAUACCGAAUAUGACCAUGGACUUCACGGUUUGUGGUGGAAAGCUUUUGCGGUGUGGGAUGGGCCCGCGGCCUAUCAGCUUGUUGGUGGGGUAAUGGCCUACCCAGGCGACGACGGGUAGCCGGCCUGAGAGGGUGACCGGCCACACUGGGACUGAGAUACGGCCCAGACUCCUACGGGAGGCAGCAGUGGGGAAUAUUGCACAAUGGGCGCAAGCCUGAUGCAGCGA
rnacentral:rRNA from 1 species